rnacentral:sRNA from 1 species
CGUCCGGCCGGCCCCGGCCUCGCCGCCCCGCGCAGUACCCACCCGGCCCCGCCGACCCGCCUCUACUGCCGGCUCCGCGCCCUUCCCCGGGGGCUGGAUGAUGGGCUGUUUCGCCCUGCAAACGGUGGACACCGAGCUGACGGCGGACUCGGUGGAGUGGUGCCCGCUGCAAGGCUGCAGGCACCUGCUGGCGUGCGGGACCUACCAGCUGCGGCGGCCGGAGGACCGGCCUGCCGGCCCCCAGAAUAAGGUGUCACAUCCCGGUGGCUGGACAUGCCCUCUUGGGCUUGGCAGAUGCCAGUGGAUCCAUACAACUGCUCCGCCUGGUGGAAUCUGAGGUCAGUGACUUGCACUUGUUCUGUGGGGCAGAAGGGACCUGAAUAGAGAGGGUUGGGGAGGAGGCUGUGCUGAUACAGACAUUUUUCUAAAACGAUCUCUCUUCAAUGGUGAGCUAUAUAUAAACGUUCUAAGAUAAUGUGGAGUCUAUUUUUAAGUUGUAUUGCGUUCUACAUCCAACUCCAAGAGGAAGUCACCUCAUGUGUCACCAGCAGAAGGGCUGAAGUGACAGGAUGUUCAUUGACCUGUCAGUGGAUCUGAAAGUUCUCUAAGGAGAGCCUGGGCAAGCAUUCUUAGGUUGAUGCUGGGGCCCAGAGUAGCAGUGAGCGUCCUGUGUGAAGAUGGCAUUUCUCACUGAUUAUUGGAAAAGCACUAGAAGAGCCACGUGCUGGAGCCAUUGUCCAGCCUUGCCCUGGAGGAGCAGUGUCUGGCUUUGUCCCUCGAUUGGUCCACUGGGAAAACUGGAAGGGCGGGGGACCAGCCCUUGAAGAUCAUCAGCAGUGACUCCACAGGGCAGCUCCACCUCCUGAUGGUGAAUGAGACGAGGCCCAGGCUGCAGAAAGUGGCCUCAUGGCAGGCACAUCA